rnacentral:tRNA from 1 species
GGUGAGGUGUCCGAGUGGCUGAAGGAGCACGCCUGGAAAGUGUGUAUACGGCAACGAAUCCGGGGUUCGAAUCCCCGCCUCACCGCCA